rnacentral:misc_RNA from 1 species
AUGUUAUUUGUUUUUAGACCUGCGCUUAACUGCGCGGUUUAAUAAACUCUUNCCACAGUGUUUUUGUUUGCGAAUUUGGUUUAGUUUGUUGGUUUUCAUUCGAAAGGAUGAAGAUUGAUUGCUAAAUCUUAUUCAGCUUUUUAAACUCAGAUCUCUUUUUAAGAGAAAUGUAUUUUUUUAAUUACAACUAGUCGAUUUUACAAACUAAAAGUUUAAAACUUUCAGCAACGGAUCUCUUGGUUCUCGCAUCGAUGA